UACGAAGGGGGCUAGCGUUGCUCGGAAUCACUGGGCGUAAAGCGCACGUAGGCGGAUCAUUAAGUCGGGGGUGAAAUCCUGGAGCUCAACUCCAGAACUGCCUUCGAUACUGAAGAUCUCGAGUCCGGGAGAGGUGAGUGGAACUCCGAGUGUAGAGGUGAAAUUCGUAGAUAUUCGGAAGAACACCAGUGGCGAAGGCGGCUCACUGGCCCGGUACUAACGCUGAGACGCGAAAGCGUGGGGAGCAAACAGG
rnacentral:rRNA from 1 species